ensembl:lncRNA
GUUAAAACUACUUUAAACAUGUGUUUAAUUUUUUCAGGAUGAGGAAAUCCAGAUCAGACAUCGACACCGACAGAAGGGCGAGGAGCGCGAUGGUCAUUGACCUUCAUCGUCAUCAUCAUGAACAAGGCUAUGACCCGUAGACCGACACCUGUCCAGACAGCACACCUGUCCAGACAGUCAUGUGUUUCUACCAGUGCACUUUGUAGAAGGUACUUAUGCACUAGCAAUCAUGAAGAACGCCCAUUUGCACCAUUUUGGCACGGCCCAAAUAUAGGAAGAAUAGGACAAUAAGCCAAUAAGAAUGUCGUUGGUGGUAAUGGAAUUUUGGUAAUGUUUAUUAGUUCAUCUUGAAAUGAUUUGUCAUUAUUGGUAAACAUUGUUGUGUGUGACUGCCACAGCGUCUUUCAUGCGAGAUUUGGAAAAAACUAAAUUUUUAUUAGCCUAGGUUACAGUAUGAUUUUAUUUAGAGUCGUACACUACUACAACCCUCGAUUCAUCACAAAAGGGCAGAGUAUCGUCACAAACAACUCCCAAGAUGGAUUCUGAUUUACAAAUGGCUGCUCACCCAUGGCCUUUACUCCCUGUGUGAUCGACGAAGCUGUGAAAUGUCACAAAGUAUAGGUUAUACAAGCAUAAACACACUAAUGGUACGUGUGAAACACUGUGACUAAAUGGCCCGAACACGGUCAUGCCAAUCUAACAAAUGAUUUACCGUAGCCAAAUCCUAAUGCAAUAAUCGAGUACAGUAUUACCUCAUUAACAACAGAUUGUUUGUUGUGUGUGUGUGUGUGUGUGUGUGUGUGUGUGUGUGUGUGUGUGUGUGUGUGUGUGUGUGUGUGUGUGUGUGUGUGUGUGUGUGUGUGUGUGUGUGUGUGUGUGUGUGUGUGCGCGAAAGAGCUGAAUGUAAUCGGCUAACUCGUGUAAUUUCUACCUAGGAUAAUGCCGGGCGACAGCCAAUCAGUGCAAUAUCAGGCUAAUGUAUUGUGAAGGUGACUAAAUAUUAGUUUAUGUGACUGCGGGACAUUAUGAGGUCUAAUAAGCUAAUGGUGCCUUUAUUUACUUGUGUUUAGGCCUUCUGUUUUAAGUAACAUUUUAAAUUGUUUCAAAUCCUUUUUACCUAUGAUCAAUUCUAAUACUGAUUUAUAAUGAAGACAUCUGAAUUUUAUGAUUUUCAUUGUUGAAGAAAUGGAAUUUAAUUUGAGGCUAUUUGAAUAUUCUUGUGUUUUGAAUAAGUCAUAAUGAAACAAAGGGAGUAUAAAGGGGAAAACAAAAGGCCUAUUAGGCCGGCUACUUAAUGAGACUGACGGUUGUAUUGUACGUUAAGUUGCACAUCAAAUAAAAACCUGUAAACAGGA